GGAGAUGAUAUUGGGAUGGGAGAAGGGAGGGUGUGAGGGAGGACUGUGUCCCUAUCUGAAUCUUUGGGCUUCUCAGUGUGCGUUGGGAAGGGAGACAGUUAUCUGUUUCUGAGCAGGAAAGAGAAACUACUCACAACAGAGACAAAGCUCCUCAAUCUCUCAACAAAGAUGAACCAAAUCUUUGCAUGAGGAAUCACAGUCAAUGUAAUGUAAGAGAUUUUAUCAUGGGAGUCCAUGGGCAUCGCUGAUGAACCCUAAAGUUCAAACCAAGUGUCUCAAGUAGUCGGACAGCCUUUGUUCCCUUGCCCAGGAAUUUUUCUCUUUUUUAACUUGAGGGUAGUGAGGUCGCUGGCAUCUUCUUGUGUGUGGCACAGUGAACUACCUUUUGCUUCCGAGCAUCUGCUACUACAAUGUUGUGUGUCUGGGGAGAGGAAAAAGCUCUCUUCGUUCAAAUCUUUGUGGGUGGGAUCAGUGACUGCAAUAAGGGCAAUCAUCAUCAUCCCUAAGCCAUGACUUGCCCAUCACUUCAGUUAGAUGUCACGGACCCCAUUCCAUUCUUUCUGUGCUAUGUUUUGCACCAAACAAGCAGCCAAAAUCUAAGGUGAAGGGAAAACAAAAUGAAACAACCAGUAGCUGGUUCAAUCGGAGUCAUUGCGGCGAUGAACACUGAUAAUGCAAGAGGAAAAAAAAAAAGUAUAUGGGCUGGAUCACUGGGACAAGGGGGACCAUCUUCCAUCUAUAUGUUGUCGGUGGUUGAGGAGCUGACAAUGAGAGAUGAGGGCAAUAGAAGCGAGAUAACCCUCAAGAAUGUGCUCCAAUGAGUUACUUCUUGAAAACAACCAGCUGCAACUUGUAAUGGAUGAACAUAUCAGGUCAAUAAAUCAGCACACUGGUGAUAGUGCCAAACCAGUCUCCAAGCAGAACCGCACUGUCACUGAUGCCCUAGUUUGGUGAAAAGAGUGAGGGUGAAAAUGGCACAAACCCCCAAAAAUAUCAUGCUGAUUUACUAACCCAACAUUUUACAAGUAGUUGACGAAGCCCUGGAUAUUUAUUGCCAGGAGAGGUAAUAUACCUAUGAAAAACCAAUGGAGGCAAAUUGAAUACCAUGUUCCUGCUUUUCUGAAAAAAUAAUCUAUUAGGUGAGUAUGGUCUGAACGUGUCAAGAGUAAAAUAUUAUGAAUUGGAAACGUUGUUUGAAUGAGUCUUUACAGAGCUUUCUUUUACAACACCUCAAAAAUUCGAGCAACUCGCUAAGCAGCACCAACCUGACGAAUCUCGCCAUUUGCUAUCCGAGGAGAUACUCCUAGGAUAACUGUGAUCUAAUAUUUGGGCCAAUGCUGCAC